rnacentral:rRNA from 1 species
UACAGAGGUCUCGAGCGUUAGGCGGAAUCACUGGGCUUAAAGCGUGUGUAGGCGGAUCGUUAAGUGCCUUGUGAAAUCCCACGGCUCAACCGUGGAACUGCUUGGCAUACUGGCGGUCUUGAGCAACCUAGGGGCGAGCGGAACAAAUGGUGGAGCGGUGAAAUGCGUAGAUAUCAUUUGGAACGCCAAUGGUGAAAACAGCUCGCUGGGGGUUUGCUGACGCUGAGACACGAAAGCUAGGGGAGCAAACGGG